AGUCACGCAAUGAGCACAGAGCGAACUAUUCUUUCGCCUUUUACUAAAGAAUACCGUGUGUGGAUUGCAAAUAGUGGCAUACGCCAUUUUUUGGAGGGAUGUCUCUUUUAGAGGCGC